rnacentral:rRNA from 1 species
UAGCCGUAAACGAUACUCGCUAGGUGUCGGCCACGGUGCGACCGUUGUCGGUGCCGUAGGGAAGCCGUGAAGCGAGCCACCUGGGAAGUACGGCCGCAAGGCUGAAACUUAAAGGAAUUGGCGGGGGAGCACCACAAGAGGUGGAGGCUGCGGUUUAAUUGGAUUCAACGCCGGAAAUCUUACCGGGACCGACAGCAACAUGAAGGCCAAGCUGAAGACUUUGCCGGAUUAGCUGAGAGGAGGUGCAUGGCGUAGUCGUGU